rnacentral:rRNA from 1 species
UACGUAGGGGGCAAGCGUUGUCCGGAUUUAUUGGGCGUAAAGAGCUCGUAGGCGGUUCCGUAAGUCGAGUGUGAAAAAUCUGGGCUCAACCCAGUGGAGCACUCGAUACUGCGGUGACUGGAGUACGGUAGAGGAGUGUGGAAUUCCUGGUGUAGCGGUGAAAUGCGCAGAUAUCAGGAGGAACACCUGCGGUGUAGACGGCUUUCUGGACCAUUGCUGACGCUGAGACACGAAAGCGUGGGUAGCAAACAGG